CAGAUAUCCUCAUAAUUUCAAGUCCUGCUACAAGAUGCGUGUCGCUUUCUUUCUUCUGGUGCUUUUACUUAUCGGGCUGGCAGAUAUCUCAAAUUCCAAUAUUGCGAAAGAAAACGAAAAACACAUAGCGCGGUCACUUCAAUCUAAGGGGACCGAAGAUGUAAUAUACAAAAUACAGUCGCUCACGCGGCUCACCAUUGAGAGCAGGAACGAAAAAUAUAGCAAAGAAGAGGGAACGAAACAUAAAAAAGGGGGAAAAAAGAAGGGAAAAAAGCGAAAGGAUAAGGGCAAGAUGACACCCCUUGGCAUUCAAGUCACUUCUACUAGGAAUUGUACCGUCACAUAUGCUACCUACGGGACAAACACAUCCACAUACCAAUCGCAGUACGACGGGAACUGGACCGAACAUGCUCAAUGUCUUAUGCCGUGCAACCCUGAAUAUACGGAUCCAUGCAAAAGCCUGCCGGGAAACCAAUGCAUCUGUCUGAGUCGAAGAGAUUACCCGAAGGUUGGCGUGUGUGCCAUGAAAGAUGUUGCUCCAGGUAAUGACGCCUACAACACUACGCAGAAAUAAAAACAUGAGAGUGACAGUAAA